rnacentral:rRNA from 1 species
AGAGUUUGAUCCUGGCUCAGAUUGAACGCUGGCGGCAUGCCUAACACAUGCAAGUCGAACGGCAGCACAGGUAGCAAUACCGGGUGGCGAGUGGCGGACGGGUGAGUAAUGCAUCGGGAUCUACCCAAACGUGGGGGAUAACGUAGGGAAACUUACGCUAAUACCGCAUACGUCCUACGGGAGAAAGCGGGGGCUCGCAAGACCUCGCGCGGUUGGACGAACCGAUGUGCGAUUAGUUAGUUGGCGGGGUAAUGGCCCACCAAGGCGACGAUCGCUAGCUGGUCUGAGAGGAUGAUCAGCCACACUGGGACUGAGACACGGCCCAGACUCCUACAGGAGGCAGCAGUGGGGAAUAUUGGACAAUGGGCGCAAGCCUGAUCCAGCAAUGCCGCGUGUGUGAAGAAGGCCUUCGGGUUGUAGAAGCACUUUUAUCAGGAGCGAAAUACUAUCGGUUAAUAACCGG